GCAGGGUAGCCUGGUGGUUAGAGUGUAGGGGCGGCAGGGUAGCCUAGUGGUUAGAGUGUAGAGGUGGCAGGGUAGCCUAGUGGUUAGAGUGUAGAGGUGGCAGGGUAGCCUAGUGGUUAGAGUGUAGGGGCGGCAGGGUAGCCUAGUGGUUAGAGUGUAGAGGUGGCAGGGUAGCCUAGUGGUUAGAGUGUAGGGGCGGCAGGGUAGCCUAGUGGUUAGAGUGUAGGGGCGGCAGGGUAGCCUAGUGGUUAGAGUGUAGAGGUGGCAGGUAGUCUAGUGGUUAGAGUGUAGGGGCGGCAGGGUAGCCUAGUGGUUAGAGUGUAGAGGUGGCAGGUAGCCUAGUGGUUAGAGUGUAGGGGCGGCAGGGUAGCCUAGUGGUUAGAGUGUAGGGGCGGCAGGGUAGACUAGUGGUUAGAGUGUAGCGGUGGCAGGGUAGCCUAGUGGUUAGAGUGUAGAGGCGGCAGGGUAGCCUAGUG
ensembl:lncRNA